rnacentral:tRNA from 4 species
GGGUGAUUAGCUCAGCUGGGAGAGCACCUCCCUUACAAGGAGGGGGUCGGCGGUUCGAUCUCGUCAUCACCCACCA